rnacentral:lncRNA from 1 species
CCUGGAAUCUGAAUGAGAAUAACACUCCUUCCAACCUAAUUAAUGGAAUCAGAGUCACUCAUUUUUAUGAUUUUAUUUCUAAGUUCAACUCUCCUCAACCAAACAUGCCCUUACUUCCUUCCCACCAUUAGCUUUUAGAGAUGGAGGCAACUAUCAGAAAUUGUAGGAGAGGUGAGACAAAGGCAGAGCAUGUCUAUAGGU